rnacentral:rRNA from 1 species
ACGUCAAGUCCUCAUGGCCCUUAUGGGCUGGGCUACACACGUGCUACAAUGGCGGUGACAGUGGGAAGCCAGGUCGCGAGGCCGAGCCGAUCCCGAAAAGCCGUCUCAGUUCAGAUCGCAGCCUGCAACUCGGCUGCGUGAAGGUGGAAUCGCUAGUAAUCGCGCAUCAGCAUGGCGCGGUGAAUACGUUCCCGGGCCUU